rnacentral:rRNA from 1 species
GGGCCGCGGUAAUUUGACCGUGCGAAGGUAGCAUAAUCAAUAGUCUUUUAAUUGAAGGCUGGAAUGAAUGGUCGGACAAGGGGGAAGCUGUCUCUUUUUAUAAUUUUUGAAUUUUACUUUUAAGUGAAAAGGCUUAAAUAAUUUGGGGGGACGAUAAGACCCUAUAAAAUUUUACAAAAUUGGGAUUUUUUUUUUGAAUUAAU